AGCUCAGAGUCCUAACCACUGGACUGCCAGGGAAUUUCCAAGAUGGAACUUUCAAAAAUUUACUCUCUAAAGGAUCUGGUCUAAGACUGUGUGUCUGCAGACCCUGAAACUGAUGAUCGGCUUGAUGGGAGCAGGUAUCCUGGAAAGGAACUGAGUUUGGAGGGACACCCAGAGUUCUAUAGACCUGUGUUCCAAUCCCCUCUCUGCUGAAUCUCAGCUGUGUGGGCCUGAAUGAAUAAAAAUGCUGCGGUAAUACACUCUCUUGGGAUGACAAAUAUNNNNNUGCAGGCCUCACAGUAAGAGGCCCCAAAUGGCAGCUCUGUUGGUUGGAUCAAUGCAAUCAGUAAAUGGACUGGUUUGAGACGACUGAAAUGAUAAUGGCGAGUCUUACAGAUGCUUACAAAGACCCACCUAUGUGCCAGAUUCUGGGAAAUGGGACUGGGCCACUGUCUAGGAGAGGAUCCAGGAAUGGUGGUAACGAAUGUAGUCUGUUCACCAAGUCCAAGCCAAGGCUGACAUAUCCCUCUCCGGUGCUUCCCUGACAAACAAACAAGAAUAGAAGAAAAACCUUGCCGAGUUGUCAAGUUGGGAGGGCGUCCCUGACAGUUGAACCUAGUCUUGGAAGACUGAGGUGCAGCCUGGUUCCUCGGGAGCCUCUCUGAGGAAGCUGCCCAGAACUCAGUAUCUGGCUGAAGCCGUGGUCUAACAGCUGUGUGGGCAUUAUAAAUCUCUCUCUUGGAGAUGAGGCUCCGAGGCUCUCAAUGGAUCCUGCUAAUGGUAAAUCUGUCAGUGCCCACAGCACGAGACCUGGACUCAGAGCAUCAAGUCUGGAAAUUAGAAGUGGAUUUUCAAAGUCUGCACACCAGAACAUAUAUGGCGAAGAAAGCAUACUCCUUCAGAGGAGGCCCCAGGGAAGCCCGACCCUUGGCCAGCCGGCCCGCCCAAGGAACAGCAGCCCUGGCAGGGUACUUCGGGAACUGGCUGCUGAUGAGCCUUUGGCGCCUCAACAAUUUGUCCUGACUUUCCUCAGCGGCCAGCAGGUCUUCAGUCUUGGAGAGUGGACUGCUUUCUGGAUGGAGCCCAGGGUUAAAUGGAGCCAGGUCUGAUGAACAAGGUAGGAGAUGAAGCUGGCUGGGAUCACUUUGGAUGAGAAAAUAUCUUGAUUGCAAAAUAAUGAGCAGGGGUGACUUGGAGCCUUUCUCUGAAGGAAAUCCCCAGAGAGGAGUUCCAAAAGGGCUUUAAGCAUUGGGAGCUUUCCUGGAAUAAGUGAGUAAGUCCCUGGAGGGGUGGCUAUGGCAGGGGAAACACUUGUUUGGAAGGGCAAGCACUGGGGUAUUGGGGGAGGGGUGUCUCUGUAUGUUACAGUUGUAUCUUGUAAGAUUCAUUCAUUCAACAUUUGAUAAGCAAUGGCACCCCACUCCAGUACUCUUGCCUGGAAAAUCCCAUGGAC
rnacentral:lncRNA from 1 species